rnacentral:rRNA from 1 species
UACGUAGGGUGCAAGCGUUAAUCGGAAUUACUGGGCGUAAAGCGUGCGCAGGCGGUUCGUUGUGUCGGCGGUGAAAGCCCCGGGCUCAACCUGGGAAUGGCCGUUGAAACUGGCGAACUGGAGUGUGGCAGAGGGGGGUGGAAUUCCGCGUGUAGCAGUGAAAUGCGUAGAGAUGCGGAGGAACACCGAUGGCGAAGGCAGCCCCCUGGGCUAACACUGACGCGCAGGCACGAAAGCGUGGGGAGCAAACAGG